AUUUUGUUGUGCACACCUUCCUAAACUAUACUUUUCUUCUUAACAUAUGUUCAUUGUCCGGCAGAAGCUGUAGAUUUCAGCGUACAAUAAUUUCCAAAAUGGUAGAAGGCAUUCAAGACCUGGCAGGGCUGGGUCAACCGGCCCUUCGUGUUCAAGACCCGGCUCUUAUGAGCCUUGACAGUCGUGCUACCGGCUGGGCAUCAUCAUCCUGAGCCAUGUCCGGAACCAGACCAGUAGGGGCACCCUAAGCGAGCACUCGAGGCAUGCUGUCAAGUUGGACGAGUGCAACCAGGCCAGCUGUUGUGUGUGUCCACGGUUACAUUGUUGUAUUGUUGGUUAAAGACAAUGUUUUUCUUCUUGAAUUAUGAAACCUCGAACAACAGUAGGAUAUAAUCGUUUUGUUCGUUUUG